GUUUGAAAAGCAUAUCUGGGUUUUCUAAUCUUCUUUUCCCCCUUCUUUUUGCCUGGUUUUAGCUCAGUUUCAGACCCACUUGCAAAGCUUGCACUUUGUGAUGAUGAGUUAAGGUCCUUGAAUUCUGUUCUUGGUAGUAGUGCUGCUGCUUGAUUGUCCAUCUUCAACCCCAAGAACCCAUUUGAAGUAUCCCCUUGAAAAUUGUUAAAAACAUGAGAAUUUGUCAUGGUUGACGAUGCAGGAUAAGAAGGCGACCCUGUCGAUGAAAAAGGAAAUAACAUUUGAAACUUUUCCAUGGAAAUAAGUAGUGCAUACAAAAGAAAGAAAACAAGAACAAGAAGAAGAAGUAGACGUAGAGGAAGGUCUAAAGGGGUAGAGAGUAAU
rnacentral:misc_RNA from 1 species